rnacentral:rRNA from 1 species
UACGUAGGUGGCAAGCGUUGUCCGGAUUUACUGGGCGUAAAGAGCGCGCAGGCGGCUGGCCAAGUCCGAUGUGAAAGCUCCCGGCUUAACUGGGAAACUGCAUCGGAAACUGGUCGGCUUGAAGGUGGGAGAGGGUAGCGGAAUUCCCGGUGUAGUGGUGAAAUGCGUAGAUAUCUGGAGGAACACCGGUGGCGAAGGCGACGUCCUGGACCGGCAUUGACGCUGAGGCGCGAAAGCCAGGGGAGCAAACGGG